rnacentral:rRNA from 1 species
AGAGUUUGAUCCUGGCUCAGGAUGAACGCUGGCGGCGUGCCUAACACAUGCAAGUCGAGCGAGAUGUAUAUGGACGAAACUUCGGUCUAGGAAAUAUAUUGACAGCGGCGGACGGGUGAGUAACGCGUAGGCAACCUGCCCUUAACACAGGGAUAGCCUCGGGAAACCGGGAUUAAAACCUGAUAAUGCCAAAUAGUCACAUGGCUGUUUGGCCAAAGAUUUAUCGGUUAAGGAUGGGCCUGCGUCUGAUUAGUUUGUUGGUGGGGUAACGGCCUACCAAGGCGACGAUCCGUAACUGGUCUGAGAGGAUGAUCAGUCACACUGGAACUGAGACACGGUCCAGACUCCUACGGGAGGCAGCAGUGGGGAAUAUUGGACAAUGGGCGAAAGCCUGAUCCAGCCAUGCCGCGUGUGUGAAGAAGGUCUUCGGAUUGUAAAGCACUUUAAGUUGGGAGGAAGGGUAGUAACUUAAUACGUUGCUACUUUGACGUUACCGACAGAAUAAGCACCGGCUAACUUCGUGCCAGCAGCCGCGGUAAUACGAAGGGUGCAAGCGUUAAUCGGAAUUACUGGGCGUAAAGCGCGCGUAGGUGGUUCAGUAAGUUGGAAGUGAAAUCCCCGGGCUCAACCUGGGAACUGCUUUCAAAACUGCUGAGCUAGAGUACGGUAGAGGGUGGUGGAAUUUCCUGUGUAGCGGUGAAAUGCGUAGAUAUAGGAAGGAACACCAGUGGCGAAGGCGACCACCUGGACUGAUACUGACACUGAGGUGCGAAAGCGUGGGGAGCAAACAGGAUUAGAUACCCUGGUAGUCC